ensembl:snoRNA
AUCCAAAGUGUUGAGUUCAGCACAGGGCUUCUCCCCUGUUCUGUUAAUUAACUUUGGAACAUUAAAGUGGCAGGGGGAAAUGAGGAUGGAAAAGUUCUUCUGUCCUUUUUGUCACCCAGCCUACAAUC